rnacentral:rRNA from 1 species
AUUUUAUAAUAUUACCAAGGUAAUUAUUAUAUUAUCAACAUCCUUCCUAUUAUAUUCUAAAUAUAUAGGAAAUUUUACUUUGAGAAAAUUAGAGUGCUUAAAGCAGGCAACUGCCUUGAAUACUCCAGCAUGGAAUAAUAAGUAAGGACUUUUGUCUUUCUUAUUGGUUCUAGGACAAAAGUAAUGGUUAAUAGGGACAGUUGGGGGCAUUCGUAUUUAACAGCCAGAGGUGAAAUUCUUAGAUUUGUUAAAGACGAACUACUGCGAAAGCAUUUGCCAAGGAUGUUUUCAUUAAUCCAAGAACGAAAGUUAGGGGAUCGAAGACGAUCAGAUACCGUCGUAGUCUAACCAUAAACUAUGCCGAC